GGCAGUCGUGGCCUAAUGGUUAGCGUCUCAGCUUGUAACUUAAAAGUGAACCUGAAGGUUGUGGGUUUGAGUCUCAGGUCUGGCA